AUCCAGCGGACAAGUCCCAAAUAGUACAAAACGCGCGUCCUGGAU
rnacentral:hammerhead_ribozyme from 1 species